rnacentral:rRNA from 1 species
CCUACACGACCGUACCGCAAACCGACACUGGUGCGCGAGAUGAGUAUUCUAAGGCGCUUGAGAGAACUCGGGAGAAGGAACUCGGCAAAUUGACACCGUAACUUCGGAAGAAGGUGUGCCUUUAGUAGGUGAAGGGAUUUACUCCUGGAGCCCAAUGAGGUUGCAAAAAAUCGGUGGCUGCGACUGUUUAUUAAAAACACAGCACUCUGCAAACACGAAAGUGGACGUAUAGGGUGUGACGCCUGCCCGGUGCUGGAAGAUUAAAUGAUGGGGUGCAAGCUCUUGAUUGAAGUCCCAGUAAACGGCGGCCGUAACGAUAACGGUCCUAAGGUAGCGAAAUUCCUUGUCGGGUAAGUUCCGACCUGCACGAAUGGCGUAACGAUGGCCACACUGUCUCCUCCCGAGACUCAGCGAAGUUGAAAUGUUUGUGAUGAUGCAAUCUCCCCGCGGAAAGACGGAAAGACCCCAUGAACCUUUACUGUAGCUUUGUAUUGGACUUUGAACAGAUCUGUGUAGGAUAGGUGGGAGGCUUUGAAGUAGGGUCGCUAGAUCUUAUGGAGCCAACGUUGAAAUACCACCCUGGUGUGUUUGAGGUUCUAACCUAGGUCCAUUAUCUGGAUCGGGGACAGUGCAUGGUAGGCAGUUUGACUGGGGCGGUCUCCUCCCAAAGCGUAACGGAGGAGUUCGAAGGUACGCUAGUUACGGUCGGACAUCGUGACGAUAGUGCAAUGGCAUAAGCGUGCUUAACUGCGAGACUGACAAGUCGAGCAGAUGCGAAAGCAGGACAUAGUGAUCCGGUGGUUCUGUAUGGAAGGGCCAUCGCUCAACGGAUAAAAGGUACUCUGGGGAUAACAGGCUGAUACCGCCCAAGAGUUCAUAUCGACGGCGGUGUUUGGCACCUCGAUGUCGGCUCAUCUCAUCCUGGGGCUGUAGCCGGUCCCAAGGGUAUGGCUGUUCGCCAUUUAAAGAGGUACGUGAGCUGGGUUUAAAACGUCGUGAGACAGUUUGGUCCCUAUCUUCCGUGGGCGCUGCAGAUUUGAGGAAGCCUGCUCCUAGUACGAGAGGACCGGAGUGGACACACCUCUGGUGUAUCGGUUGUCACGCCAGUGGCAUUGCCGAGUAGCUAAGUGUGGAAGAGAUAACCGCUGAAAGCAUCUAAGCGGGAAACUCGUUUCAAGAUGAGAUCUGCCGGGGCCUUGAGCCCCCUAAAGAGUCGUUCAAGACCAGGACGUUGAUAGGUCAGGUGUGGAAGCGCAGUAAUGCGUUAAGCUAACUGAUACUAAUUGCUCGUGCGGCUUGACCCC